rnacentral:rRNA from 1 species
CUGAGUAGCGGCGAGCGAAACGGGAACAGCCCAAACCAAGAGGCUUGCCUCUUGGGGUUGUAGGACACUCAAUACGGAGUGACAAAGGAACGGAGUAGAUGAAGCGGUCUGGAAAGGCCCGCCAGAGGAGGUAACAGCCCUGUAGUCGAAACUUCGUUCCCUCCUGAGUGGAUCCUGAGUACGGCGGGACACGAGGAAUCCCGUCGGAAGCAGGGAGGACCAUCUCCCAAGGCUAAAUACUCCCUAGUGACCGAU